rnacentral:pre_miRNA from 1 species
GGUUAAAAAUUUCAUCAAUUUGUACGGUUAAAAUAUGAUGUGGUUGACAGAAUAAUCAGACAAUGACGUAGCGUGCCACUUGUACCUCAUGUUUUAAUAGAAAAAAUGGAUGAAUUUUUUUAAUA